GUCAGCGCCGAGCCCGCCGGCGCCGCGCCUCGACCGCGCCGACCACAACCACCGCCUGCACGAGUGCCUUCUCGUCAACCGCAGUCAUUGCCAGCCGGCGCCGGACUACGGCGGCGAGUCCGCCUGCCCGGCCAUGCAGAAACUGCGCCAGCAUCGGCUCGUCCAUUGUUACAGAAUCAAUUUGUGGUAUUCGUUGAAUUUGACGGUCCGCGGGGACGACAGUUGCGUGGAAGAGGAGCUUGAGCAGCACAUCGCCAUUUUGGAUACUCGUGAUCGACAAGUGGGAAUGAUGUACGAGAACUUCGAAAAUAUCCUGGACCGUUACUGAUUGUGAGGAAGAAUACUCAGUGAUAUUUCAAUGCUCGACUUGCAAGGCGGCCUAUCUGGACUGGUUGUGCGCCGUAUACAUCCCGUACUACGGGACGUGGGGCCGGCGCAUGCGGCCGUGCCGCGCCGUCUGCCGCCGGGUGCAGCAGGUGUGCCCGUUCUUCCACCCGUCGGAGCGUCCCACCGCCAACACCCAGUACGCCGGCGAGCCAGCCUUCUUCUGCGAAGACAAGGACAUUCCGGAUAUCUCGCCCUUCAGUAACGGCACCAUGUACGGUGACGACGACUGCUGCUUCCACGCGGCCUGCGCCGGCUGCGGCGACGGCGGCGAUUGUGACGCGGCCACCUGCGCCGGCUACGCCGCCUGCCCCCCAGACUGGCGCGCUGGCAGUGUGGCGCUGGGCCCAGCGCGCUGGCCGCACGUGACAAACGGACAGGCGUCCGGCGCCAGCGCAGCGGCGCACGAGCGAACGGGCCGCCGGCCACGACGACGACGGCGAUGGCGGCGAU